rnacentral:rRNA from 1 species
AUAGACCACCUACUCUCCCGUUGCAUAUACUCCCGGAUCACCUGGCACGAGAUUCUCUCAUGGUGUCGGCUCACCGCCCCUCCUAUGGACGGCACGACGACCGUCUUUGUCCGGUGGUCUCUUGCCGCCGAAACCUCCCCUGGCUGCAUGCGUAAAGGCCUCAACUCCAUCGUCGCAUUGACUGUCUGGGCCAUCUGGAAGCAUCACAACGCGGCCAUCUUCGAUGGCCUACAACCUUCCACCAGAUAUCUGAUCCUAACCAUAAAGGAAGAGGCUCGCCUCUGGGCCAAGGCGGGUGCCAAGGGAUUAGCUUGCAUCAUACAUGUAAGCUGA